AGAAGUCACAGAUAGGAGAGGACAGAGAGGAAGAAGAGAGAGUGAUGGAAGGGAGAGAGAGGAGUGAGAGUUGCAGAGAUAUCUGGUUGACUGUGAGUCUACUUUUUCUGUUUUCAGAACUGGAAUUUUCACAUUGACAUCCUAUGGGUUAAAAGAAAUUUCAUGUUGCCCCAAGAGGGGCUUCCAUCCCCAUAAACAGGACUCAGCUCUCUUCUGCGACUGCAGCCAUGUUACCAUCCAAAAGAGCAGG
rnacentral:lncRNA from 1 species